UUUUGCAGUGACUGAUAAGUCUCCUCAGACUGCUUCCUCAAAAUGAAGUUGCCAGUUCAACUGUUGGUACUGCAGCUUUUCUGGAUUCCUGCUUCCAAGAGUGAUGUUCUGAUGACCCAAACUCCAGCCUCCUUAGCUGUAAGCCUUGGAGUUCAAGUCUCUAUCUCUUGCAGGGCUAGUCAGAGUCUUGUACAUAGUAAUGGAAAUACCUAUUUGUAUUGGUGCCUGCAAAAGCCAGGCCAGUCUCCAAAGCCCCUGAUCUAUGAGGUUUCCAAGCGAUAUUCUGGGGUGCCAGACAGGUUCAUUGGCAGUGGGUCAGGCACAGACUUCACACUCAAGAUCAGCAGAGUGGAGCAUGAGGACUUGGGGAUUUAUUACUGCAUGCAACAUACACAUAUUCCUCCCACAGUGAUUCAAGCCCUAACAAAAAGUCCUUGCUUGGAUUGGCCCAGCUGCUAA